rnacentral:rRNA from 1 species
UACGUAGGGAGCAAGCGUUGUUCGGAAUCACUGGGCGUAAAGCGCGCGUAGGCGGCCACACAAGUCCGUUGUGAAAGUCACAGGCUCAACCUUUGAAAGCCGAUGGAUACUGUGUGGCUAGAGUACGGAAAAGGCGAGUGGAAUUCCUGGUGUAGCGGUGGAAUGCGCAGAUAUCAGGAGGAACACCAAUAGCGAAGGCAGCUCGCUGGGACGUUACUGACACUGAGGCGCGAAAGCGUGGGGAGCGAACAGG